rnacentral:rRNA from 1 species
UGACGGGAAUAUUGGGACAAUGGGUGAGAGCCUGAUCCAGCCAUCCCGCGUGAAGGAUGACGGCCCUAUGGGUUGUAAACUUCUUUUGUAUAGGGAUAAACCUAGAUACGUGUAUCUAGCUGAAGGUACUAUACGAAUAAGCACCGGCUAACUCCGUGCCAGCAGCCGCGGUAAUUA